GAGAGCCCGUUGCGUGGAGACACGCACGGCGGGUUCGGCGAGCGGCCUGGGGAAACGGACCGGGAGCAAUCCCGACACCGGGCCCCAGGCCGACUCCAC
rnacentral:ncRNA from 1 species